rnacentral:rRNA from 1 species
GAUGAACGCUAGCGGCAGGCCUAAUACAUGCAAGUCGAACGAGAUUAUCCAGCUUGCUGGAUAUGAAAGUGGCGCACGGGUNCGUAACGCGUAUGCAACCUACCUUAAUCAGGGGGAUAGCCCGGAGAAAUCCGGAUUAAUACCGCAUAAAAUCACAGCACAGCAUUGUGUAAUGAUCAAACAUUUAUGGGAUUGAGAUGGGCAGCGUGUCAUUAGCUAGUUGGCCGGGGUAACGACCCACCAAGGCGACGAUGACUAGGGGAUCUG